UACGUAGGGUGCGAGCGUUGUCCGGAAUUAUUGGGCGUAAAGGGCUCGUAGGCGGUCUGUCGCGUCGGGCGUGAAAACUCAGGGCUUAACCCUGAGCCUGCUUCCGAUACGGGCAGACUAGAGGUAUGCAGGGGAGAACGGAAUUCCUGGUGUAGCGGUGGAAUGCGCAGAUAUCAGGAGGAACACCGGUGGCGAAGGCGGGUCUCUGGGCCGAUACUGACGCUGAGGAGCGAAAGCGUGGGGAGCGAACAGG
rnacentral:rRNA from 1 species